ACACGUAGGUGGCGAGCGUUGUUCGGAUUUAUUGGGCGUAAAGGGCGCGUAGGCGGAGGCUCAAGCUUGGUGUAAAAUACCCCGGCUCAACUGGGGAGAUGCGCUGAGAACUGAGCCACUAGAGUCCAGGAGGGGGAGCCGGAAUUCCAGGUGUAGGGGUGAAAUCUGUAGAUAUCUGGAAGAACACCGGUGGCGAAGGCGGGCGCCUGGCCAUGCACUGACGCUGAGGCGCGAAAGUGUGGGGAGCGAACAGGAUUAGAUACCCUGGUAGUCCACACCGUAAACGAUGUACACUAGGUGUCCGGGAGAAAUCCUGGGUACCGGAGCCAACGCAUUAAGUGUACCGCCUGGGGAGUAUGCCCGCAAGGGUGAAACUCAAAGGAAUUGACGGGG
rnacentral:rRNA from 1 species